rnacentral:rRNA from 1 species
GAGGAAUCUUGCGCAAUGGGGGAAACCCUGACGCAGCAACGCCGCGUGAGUGAGGAAGGUCUUCGGAUCGUAAAGCUCUGUCAGUUGGAAAGAAAUGUCUGAGAGUCAAUACCUUUCAGGCUUGACGGUACCAACAGAGGAAGCACCGGCUAACUCCGUGCCAGCAGCCGCGGUAAUACGGGGGGUGCAAGCGUUGUUCGGAAUUAUUGGGCGUAAAGAGCGUGUAGGCGGCCGGAUAUGUCAGAUGUGAAAGCCCCGGGCUUAACCCGGGAAGUGCAUUUGAAACUGUCCGGCUCGAGUAGGGGAGAGGGAAGUGGAAUUCCUGGUGUAGAGGUGAAAUUCGUAGAUAUCAGGAGGAACACCGGUGGCGAAGGCGACUUCCUGGCCCUAUACUGACGCUGAGACGCGAGAGCGUGGGUAGCAAAC